UUUUGUGUGUACUGCAUCCAGAAUGAUUUAUCUAAAUAAUAGUGGCCAUGGAAAUUAAUUGGAUUUUUUUUUUAAGAAGAUGGAAAUUAAUUGGAUUUAAGAGGGGUUGAAGUUGCAUAGGACAACUAACUAACAAUAACUAUAUUUAUCGGAGUAGGUGUAUCACGUACAGGGUACAAUAACUAAAUUAUUUUGGUCACCAACUUACUGAGUUAAUUUACUACAGAGUCAAAAGGGCUUGAAGUUUCUCUUCCUAAGAAUGCAUCUACUAAGAGUCUAGUCCAAUUCCUAAGAAUGCAUCUCAUGAAAUUCUCUUCCUAAGAUUUCUUGAAGUUUCUCUUCCUAAGAGUCUAGUCCAAUUCCUAAAACCCAUCUCAGAGCUUAUUGCUUUUGAACUGAAACAAAAAAGAGCUUUUCUCAUUGUCUUUUAGAUUUGACUCUUUAAUCUCCUAGUAUUUUUGUUUUAGGUGGCAUUUAGCUUGGACCUGUGUAAGUAUUGGUUCAUAAUAGACCAAUAUUUAUAACCAUUAGAUUAUAUGUAUGCACAAUAAUAUAAUGCACCUCA
rnacentral:lncRNA from 1 species